rnacentral:tRNA from 1 species
UUGUUCGAUGGCCGAGACCUAGGCAAUAGACUGUAGAUCUAUCUACGAAAUUAAAUUUUCUCAACAAAC